rnacentral:rRNA from 1 species
UACGGGGGGGGCAAGCGUUGUUCGGAAUUACUGGGCGUAAAGGGUUCGUAGGUGGCCUGCUAAGUCAGACGUGAAAUCCCUCAGCUUAACCGGGGAACUGCGUCUGAUACUGGAUGGCUUGAAUUCGGGAGAGGGAUGCGGAAUUCCAGGUGUAGCGGUGAAAUGCGUAGAUAUCUGGAGGAACACCGGUGGCGAAGGCGGCAUCCUGGACCGGCAUUGACGCUGAGGCGCGAAAGCUAGGGGAGCAAACGGGG